rnacentral:rRNA from 1 species
GAUGAACGCUGGCGGCGUGCCUAAUACAUGCAAGUCGAGCGAACAGACGAGGAGCUUGCUCCUCUGACGUUAGCGGCGGACGGGUGAGUAACACGUGGAUAACCUACCUAUAAGACUGGGAUAACUUCGGGAAACCGGAGCUAAUACCGGAUAAUAUAUUGAACCGCAUGGUUCAAUAGUGAAAGACGGUUUUGCUGUCACUUAUAGAUGGAUCCGCGCCGCAUUAGCUAGUUGGUAAGGUAACGGCUUACCAAGGCAACGAUGCGUAGCCGACCUGAGAGGGUGAUCGGCCACACUGGAACUGAGACACGGUCCAGACUCCUACGGGAGGCAGCAGUAGGGAAUCUUCCGCAAUGGGCGAAAGCCUGACGGAGCAACGCCGCGUGAGUGAUGAAGGUCUUCGGAUCGUAAAACUCUGUCAUUAGGGAAGAACAAAUGUGUAAGUAACUAUGCACGUCUUGACGGUACCUAAUCAGAAAGCCACGGCUAACCACGUG